rnacentral:misc_RNA from 1 species
UCUCCGUAGGUGAACCUGCGGAGGGAUCAUUACCGAGUGCGCGCCCCCCGGGGCCGACCUCCAACCCAUUGUUAUCCGACCACGUUGCCUCGGGGGCGACCCUGCCUUUCGGCGCGGCGCCCCCGGAGGCUCAUCAAACACUGCAUCUUUGCGUCGGAGUCUUAAUGAAUUUAAACAAAACUUUUAACAACGGAUCUCUUGGUUCUGGCAUCGAUGAAGAACGCAGC